AUACGUAGGGAGCGAGCGUUGUCCGGAAUUACUGGGUGUAAAGGGAGCGUAGGCGGGAUGGCAAGUCAGAUGUGAAAACUAUGGGCUCAACCCAUAGACUGCAUUUGAAACUGUUGUUCUUGAGUGAAGUAGAGGUAAGCGGAAUUCCUGGUGUAGCGGUGAAAUGCGUAGAUAUCAGGAGGAACAUCGGUGGCGAAGGCGGCUUACUGGGCUUUUACUGACGCUGAGGCUCGAAAGCGUGGGGAGCAAACAGGAUUAGAUACCCUGGUAGUCCACGUUGUAAACGAUGAUUACUAGGUGUGGGGGGACUGACCCCUUCCGUGCCGCAGUUAACACAAUAAGUAAUCCACCUGGGGAGUACGGCCGCAAGGUUGAAACUCAAAUGAAUUGACGGGG
rnacentral:rRNA from 1 species